rnacentral:rRNA from 1 species
UCGAGCGGUAGCACAGAGAGCUUGCUCUCGGGUGACGAGCGGCGGACGGGUGAGUAAUGUCUGGGAAACUGCCUGAUGGAGGGGGAUAACUACUGGAAACGGUAGCUAAUACCGCAUAACGUCGCAAGACCAAAGUGGGGGACCUUCGGGCCUCAUGCCAUCAGAUGUGCCCAGAUGGGAUUAGCUAGUAGGUGGGGUAACGGCUCACCUAGGCGACGAUCCCUAGCUGGUCUGAGAGGAUGACCAGCCACACUGGAACUGAGACACGGUCCAGACUCCUACGGGAGGCAGCAGUGGGGAAUAUUGCACAAUGGGCGCAAGCCUGAUGCAGCCAUGCCGCGUGUAUGAAGAAGGCCUUCGGGUUGUAAAGUACUUUCAGCGGGGAGGAAGGCGAUAAGGUUAAUAACCUUGUCGAUUGACGUUACCCGCAGAAGAAGCACCGGCUAACUCCGUGCCAGCAGCCGCGGUAAUACGGAGGGUGCAAGCGUUAAUCGGAAUUACUGGGCGUAAAGCGCACGCAGGCGGUCUGUCAAGUCGGAUGUGAAAUCCCCGGGCUCAACCUGGGAACUGCAUUCGAAACUGGCAGGCUAGAGUCUUGUAGAGGGGGGUAGAAUUCCAGGUGUAGCGGUGAAAUGCGUAGAGAUCUGGAGGAAUACCGGUGGCGAAGGCGGCCCCCUGGACAAAGACUGACGCUCAGGUGCGAAAGCGUGGGGAGCAAACAGGAUUAGAUACCCUGGUAGUCCACGCCGUAAACGAUGUCGAUUUGGAGGUUGUGCCCUUGAGGCGUGGCUUCCGGAGCUAACGCGUUAAAUCGACCGCCUGGGGAGUACGGCCGCAAGGUUAAAACUCAAAUGAAUUGACGGGGGCCCGCACAAGCGGUGGAGCAUGUGGUUUAAUUCGAUGCAACGCGAAGAACCUUACCUGGUCUUGACAUCCACAGAACUUAGCAGAGAUGCUUUGGUGCCUUCGGGAACUGUGAGACAGGUGC